CUAAGGGUUCCAGGGCUAGGUUUAUCCGCCCUGGGUUAGUCGGGUCCUAAGGCGAGGCCGACAGGCGUAGUCGAUGGAUAACCAGUUGAUAUUCUGGUACCGCGUUGUGACCGCCCGUGUUGAAGUCAUUGUGCUAACCGGUCCUGCUUCCUUGUGUGUUUGCUGCGCUUUUGUGGUGUGGUGAGCGCGCGGGUGUGGGUCGGGGUCCCGGUGAUGGUAGGCAAGCGUGUUAACAGGGGUGACGCAGGAAGGUAGCUGCAGUGCGCCGAUGGUUGUGCGUAUUUAAGGUUGUGGCCCGUUCUCUUAGGUAAAUCCGAGGGGGCUUGUGGGUGAGAACUGAUGAGGGACACACGCGUGUGUGGACUUGUGGUGAUCCUAUGCUGCCAAGAAAAGCCUCGACGUGAGGGCAUAACGCGCCCGUACCCGAAACCGACUCAGGUGGUCAGGUAGAGUAUACCGAGGCGUUCGAGUGAAUCAUGGUUAAGGAACUCGGCAAAAUUCCUCCGUAACUUCGGGAUAAGGAGGACCCCGUGGUUUCUCCCUGCCGUGCGUGGGGUGGGGGCUGUGGGGUCGCAGAGAAUAGGGAGAAGCGACUGUUUAUCAAAAACACAGGUGCGUGCGAAGCCGUAAGGCGAUGUAUACGCACUGACGCCUGCCCGGUGCUGGAAGGUUAAGAGGAACUGUUAACACCCCCCGCGGGGUGUGAAGCGGUGAAUUUAAGCCCCAGUAAACGGCGGUGGUAACUAUAACCAUCCUAAGGUAGCGAAAUUCCUUGUCGGGUAAGUUCCGACCUGCACGAAUGGCGUAACGACUUCUCCGCUGUCUCGACCGUGAACUCGGUGAAAUUGCAGUACGAGUAAAGAUGCUCGUUUCGCGCAGAAGGACGGAAAGACCCCGGGACCUUUACUAUAGCUUGGUAUUGGUGUUCGCUUGGGCUUGUGUAGGAUAGGUGGGAGACUGUGAAACCAUGGCGCCAGCCGUGGUGGAGUCGUCGUUGAAAUACCAUUCUGGUUCAAGCGGUCACCUUAACCUUGGCCCGUGAUCCGGGUUGGGGACAGUGCCUGGUGGGUAGUUUAACUGGGGCGGUUGCCUCCUAAAAAGUAACGGAGGCGCUCAAAGGUUCCCUCAGCCUGGUUGGUCAUCAGGUGGCGAGUGCAAGUGUACAAGGGAGCUUGACUGUGAGACCGACGGGUCGAGCAGGUGCGAAAGCAGGAACUAGUGAUCCGGCCAUGGCACGUGGGUGCGUGGUCGCUCAACGGAUAAAAGGUACCCCGGGGAUAACAGGCUGAUCUUGCCCAAGAGUCCAUAUCGACGGCAUGGUUUGGCACCUCGAUGUCGGCUCGUCGCAUCCUGGGGCUGGAGUUGGUCCCAAGGGUUGGGCUGUUCGCCCAUUAAAGCGGUACGCGAGCUGGGUUCAGAACGUCGUGAGACAGUUCGGUCCCUAUCCUCUGCGCGCGCAGGAAACUUGAUGGAGGGCCGUCCCUAGUACGAGAGGACCGGGAUGGACGAACCUCUGGUGUGCCAGUUGUACCGCCAGGUGCAUGGCUGGUUAGCUACGUUCGGAAGGGAUAACCGCUGAAAGCAUCUAAGCGGGAAGCCUGCUCUAAGAUGAGGUUUCCACGCCCCCCCUGGGGGGUGAGAGGCCCCCGCCAGACUAGCGGGUUGAUAGGCCAGAGGUGGAAGCACCGCGAGGUGCUCGCGAGCCGACUGGUACUAAUUACGGCCGACA
rnacentral:rRNA from 2 species